rnacentral:sRNA from 1 species
AACUUUGCAUCCUCCCUGGCCCCAAGCACUAGGGUCAAAGCUAGGAUCACUCCCUUCCUCAGCCUUAGUGUACCCAAAGAAAUAACAAAAGCAGAUAUCCUAAUAAGUGAUUCGAACACACGAGUCUGGGCAGACACAGAACCUUCAAAUUCAAACCCAAAGACAAAAUCCUAAGGGAAUUAAAACCAAUCCAGUUAACCGCCAUGCUCAUAAAACCUCCAAUUCCACUUUCAAAGUAAUGGUAGCCGGCAAGGGUCUCAAUUAUUUCUCCUGUGGCUAUGACAAUACUAUGAUGAAAGCCACUCAGGAAAGAAAGGUUUGACCUGGGCUCCCAGCCUAGGUUUCAGUCCAUUGUGACAGGACAAUCAUAGCAGUAGCAGAAGCGGCAGCAGCAGUCAGGAAGCAAACAAACCAACUUAUCAUCGAUCUUUGCUCCUUCUUACGAACUCCGGGAUCCCAGUCUGGGGCUGGUGUCACCCACAGUGGCACUUCAAUUAACCUAACCACGAUUUCUAAGAACCCCUACUACCACUUGACACAUGCCUGCACUGAAUGUCAGACCUGCUAAGAAGCCUCCAUUUUGCCGGGAUACUGAGGAAGGAUGAUGGCAGGCCUACUGACCAGUGAGCGUGGUUCUGCUACGACGAAGGCAUGCUGGUGUUGAAGCUACAAGUCUUGGUGAGUCUUAGGCUGUGAGUACAUCUGUCCACAUUUUAGACAGUGAGUCUUUAUUAAACAACUGUUUAGCCCAUAUACUUUAAAGUCUACAUAAAACACAAAUGAACUAUAAGUCUCUCUGUUUUAAAUGAAUCUAACUGGGUCCAGGAGAGAUGGUCUCAAAGUGAAGUCAACACCAGACCAGGUGAGAACACAGCAGAGCCUCAAGAGAGACGCCAACAGCUCCACACCUCCUUCCUAAUUCACCCUUCUCUAUAUAAAACUCAGAGCCGAGGGAGAAAAGGUAUUUCUAGAGAGUGUCUAUGUCAAAAAGCCAACUUAAAAACACAGAAGAAAUCCCCACUAAAACCAGAAAUAGAACAAGACUGUCCUUAUCAUUUAACAUAGUUCUAGAUAUGAGCCAACAACACAUGCAAUGAAAUUAAAAAAAAAAAUCAUUAUACAAAGAUAGUAUCAAGUAUUUCCUUAAAAACCCAUGAGAACUUACCAGAAAUGGCAUGAAAGCUAUGACUAGAUACCAGAAUAGGGACUUAUGGUCCAUUCCUGCAGAGGGAACUAUUAAGAUCCCCAUGGGUGUGCAUCCAUGUUCUGACCCAGGCAGCUUCUUAGAACUUUAAUUUUUUCUAUUCCUAAUUUUAAUGAUAGUUCCUGAACACUUUAACCUCCCUUGUAGCCCACCACACAGCAGAGGUGGUGGAAAACAAAGGAUACAGGAAAAGUGGACCUGUUUAGAUUCUUUGGAGCAACUCCCAUCUGUGUUGUCUGGAAAUCAGCCAUUCAGUUCACAGGUCAGCAGGAGGCGGCAGCUCGAUCCACUCACAAACACUUCACAGAUACACCAGCAGUCCAGUUCGGUCCAGUUAGCAACAGCAUUGACACAACCUAGCAGAGAUAGCCAGGCCUCAGCCUCAGCUCCAGUCAGCAAGAGGGACCAAGAGGAGCCCCAGAAGUUCUCGCUGUCCCUCUCGGGGAAGUGAAGAUGAGUGAAGAUGCACGAUCCACUUGCUAUGCUGUCUCCAUCACUCCACGGAGUCCUAAAUACACCCUCCAAACAUCACAUGUCCUCCAUGUUCCUUGCCUCAGCACAUGGGUCCAGUCAGCCCGAGUCCUUGGAAGCGGCAACAAACUGCAGUACACCACACUUUUUGGUUGUUUCGCUCUAUGGAGUAGCGACAAACGCAGCUCAACUACACAGUGUAAGGCGGACCAACACAUGUGUGUCCUCAGCAAAGAAUCUUUCAUUUAGCAAAGCAUCCUCUCUCCUGUGUCUGCUUCAGCUAACCUUUCUUUCACAAGUUGGCCUUAGACUUUCAUAUCUGUGUCCACUUUAAGGAAACGUUACAUCACAUGUUUGCCCCAGCAAAACCAUUCAACCAUCAAAGAACCCUCAACUUUCCACUUCACAGGUUCCCCGGCAUUGUCUGGAUCACUGCAUCAAGGCUCCUAGGGGAGUCACCACCCAGGUGAGACAUUUCAUAAUAUGGCCACAACAAUGAAUCUAAACCACAGAUGACCUGUCAUUCCUCUGCCUAAAGUAUUCUCGUGGCUUCCACAAUUUAAAAUAAAGCCCAAUUCCCUCCCACGUGGGUCCAUGUAUGUGGUCAGGCCCUGUGCUAAGGCACUCCUGACGAGGAAGCCACACUGUCCUCUUCUUGCUCCCCCAAACACACAGCAGCAGCAGCACGGGGCUGCAAUCCAUCCUGGCGAGAUGGUCUUUCCUGGAUCUGACAAGGCCCUGGCUUUCUGAAGUGGCGACCAAGUAUUAGCUCAUGUUACAUCUCUUCAAAGUGACCUCUUUAGCCUCGAUGUCGCCCUCUUUAACUUCCUCACAGAAUCUGAACUUCAUGACGCUUCUUUCCCCUGUGCACGUGCAGUAUACCCUAACUAAUGUCAUCAGCAAGGGCUCUGCUAUAAGUAACAUGCAUCUCUGACACUUGAUGUAUUUGGAUUCUCACCACACGUCAUAUAGAGACUCACGCCUGUAAUCCCAGCACUCAGGAGGUGAGGCAGGAGGAUUACUUCACAUUUCAAGCCAGUCAGGACUGUUAAGUUCUAGAUCAGCCUGGAACACAGAGUUAGGCCUUGUCACAAAAAAGUAAAAAGAUGUCUGUCAUUCUCAAGAGACAGUCAUGCUCAAGAAAGCAGAAACAGAGCCUAUUUUAUCUAUUGUUCUAGCUCCAAGACUCUGGGACAGGGCAUUUACUCAGCAAUACCUGGUGAAUGACUGCUUCCUCCUGCCUUUAGUCCCUCAGAGGCUAUGGUUAGGCAAACAUUUCUGCUAAGUCCAACUCACUGUUGGCCUACACUGUGGCUUUUGGUUGUUAGUUUGGCUGUUAUUGUCGUUGAAGCCUCAGCCUCCCUCCCAAAUGCUGUGGUCACAGGCCUGGACCAGCACACUCUGCUACUAAGUCACCGUAUGAGUUAUGAUGGUCGCCCCACAUCUACCCAUCCUCAAAUCCCCAAGUUAAGGAAGUAUAUUAAGGUAAAUGCAAAGCUUUACAAAGUUUGACGGCCUUGUUAAAUGAAUCUUUAAAACUGAGUUUUAAAACCUUCAUGUAAAAUAUUCAGAGUCAAAACAAGCAAGUCUUUUGAGUUAUAAUCCACAUGCUGUCAUGUAAUAGCCAAAGGAAAAGAAACUUCUCUAAGGAAACACUGGAGGGGAAAUGUCAGGUUUUAACGAGUCUAUCCAUCUUGCCAGUGGAGAGAAAUGAGCGCUAAGGACUUACACUGAGUCGGGCUCUCUCUCACUACAGAGGUGCUCAUUAAGUGUGGCACACAUAAGCACAGUGGCAGGCUUGUGGGCACCCUAAGUAUCUAAUUACUUCACACAAAAGGCUACACUCGAUUCUUCACAUGUUCUUUUUAUUCAAGGGUUUACUUGCAGGCAGUAUUUAAAAUCAGGCUUUUUAAAUUAAAGGCCUAAACUACGAAAUUUUGUAAAUAUGACACUGGCAAAGAAUGAGCAUCUGGAUAAUUUAAACCCUCAUUAUCCUGGAGUCCAAGUUUGUAACACAGAACA